rnacentral:rRNA from 1 species
AAGCAAGAUAGUGAUAUUAAGCAAAACCCAAAAAGCAGUCUCAGUUCGGAUUGAAGGCUGAAAUUCGCCUUCAUGAAGCCGGAAUUGCUAGUAAUGGCAGGUCAGCAUACUGCCGUGAAUACGUUCCCGGGCCUUGUACACACCGCCCGUCACACCAUGGGAGUCGGUAACACCCGAAGUCUGUAGCCUGACGCAAGAGGGCGCAGCCGAAGGUGGGAUUGAUGACUGGGGUGAAGUCGUAACAAGGUACC